rnacentral:rRNA from 1 species
UACAGAGGUGGCAAGCGUUGUUCGGAAUUACUGGGCGUAAAGGGCGCGUAGGCGGUUCGAUAAGUCCCGUGUGAAAUCCCUCGGCUCAACUGAGGAACUGCACGGGAAACUGACGGGCUUGAGUUCGGGAGAGGGAAGCGGAAUUCCGGGUGUAGCGGUGAAAUGCGUAGAUAUCCGGAGGAACACCGGUGGCGAAGGCGGCUUCCUGGACCGGCACUGACGCUGAGGCGCGAAAGCUAGGGGAGCAAACGGG